CUCAGAAAUCUGCCUGCCUCUGCCUCCCAAGUGCUGGGAUCAAAGGUGUGCGCCACCAUGCCUGGCUAGCCUCUGUUUUCUUAGGAGAUGUCUAAGUGCCCCAACCACUCUUUGUUAGCUGUGAUAUAUGCUUUGUUUAUCCUCUGUUCUCUGUUAUGUCCCUGUCUGUCCAGUGCAGAGUAUGUGGCUUUCCUGUGGUCUGUCUAUUCUUACACAUUUAUUCUUUACUAUGCUUCUAUUUGAAGAACUUGUUAUUUUUGUUUUAUUUUUCUCUUCUUCUUGGAUGUCUUUGUGCUCUCUUAGGUGAAAUGAGUUUUGGUGCACACUCUCUGUUUUCUGUUAGAGACAUUUUUGUGUUGCACAGCUUCUGUUCUCUGUUAGGUGACAUAUGUGUGUGGUGCAUAUCCUCUGUUCUCUGUUAGGUGACAUAUGUGUGGUUUACAGACUCUGUUCUCUCUUUGAUGACAAUUGUGUGCCACAAAACCUCCCUGCUAUCUGUUAGGUGACAUGUAUGUGGCACACAGUGACAUGUGUGUGGUACACAGACUCUGUUUUGUUAGCUGACAUGUGUGUAGUGAACAGUCUCCCUGUUCUAUAUUAGGUGACAUGUAUGUGGCACACAGUGACAUGUGUGUGGCACACAGUCUCUGUUUUGUUAGCUGACAUAUGUGUAGUGAACAGUCUCCCUGUUCUAUAUUAGGUGACAUAUAUGUGGCUCGCAGCCUCCAUGUGCUCUGUUAUGUGACAUGAGUUUGGUGAACAUCCUCUGUUCUCUGUUAGUGACAUUUUUGUGGUUCAUAGCCUCUGUUCUGUUAGAUGACAUGUGUGUGCUACACAGGCUCUGCUCUCUGUUAGUGACAUAUGUGUGAUACACAGCCUCUGUUGUCUGCUAGGUGAAAUGUAUGUUUUCUGUUAGGUGGCAUGUGUGUGUUACACAGCCUCUGUUUUCUUUUAUCUGACAUUUGUGUGGUACAUAGCUUCUGUUCUCUGUUAGGAGACAUAUGUGUGGCACACAACCUCUGUGUUCUUUUAGUUGACAUAUGUGUGUUUCACAGCCACUUUGCUCACUGUUAGGUGACAUGUGUGUGGCAUACACCCUCCCUGUUCUCUGUUAUGUGACAUGUAUUUGGUACACAGCCUCUCUUUUCUGUUUUAUGUGACAUAAGUGUGACACACGGCCAAUGUUCUCUGUUAGUGACAUAAGUGUGGUACACAACUUCCCUGUUUUCUGUUAGUUAACAUUUGUAUGAUGUCCAGCCUUCCUGUUCUGUGUUAGGAGAUAUACGUGUAGUACACAGCCUCUGUUCUCUGGUAGGUGACAUAUGUGUGGUGAACAGCUUCUCCUUCUUCCAUUCCCCUGCAGAUGUCCCAUUAUCCUGCAGAUGAUUUGUCCUCCUGCAGAUGACCGGUCCUCUUAUUUACCUUGUGAGUCAGAAAUUCAUAAAAUUUCUAAGCUCAUCAUCCAAGACUGUGAUGUAUCAGCAUUGCCUCCCAUACCUUCAAGUCAAUAAGGCUCAUCUGGAGAAAAAGUGAUCCCACAACCAAGCCUCAUGGGGUCUUGGGGAAUUUCCAUUUGAACCUGGCUGUCUGAAGCUACACUCCCCAAGGAAUUGUGGAAGAAAGAAAAUCCAAAACUGAUGUCUAGGCAGCUAUAUGAAUGGAAACAACACUUCUCCACCAGAAAAAAAAUGCCAGUGCCAUCCUAGAUGAACUCCUUGUCAAACCAGAAGAUCAUAACUACCAUCAACAUCAUCUUGUAAAUGAUGACCACAGUGAAGAAACCCAACAACAGAACAAUAUCCUUCAAUAUUCCUACUCUGGUUGCUGCUAGUGUACACAGCGCUGUACCAUAGUCUAGGCUGCUCUCCAGGUUCAGGCUGAAAGAUUACCUGAGCCUGGAAAGUCACAGCCAAUCAAGGCAUGGUGCUGGUACAAACACAUCUAAAAUAAGACAAAAACUUUGUGAGUAUAGCACAAUAGUUCAAUGUAGGAGUGUAUAAUUAGCAAUUUCAAGGGAUUAAGUUCUAUGCCAAGCAACACCCCUUUCCACUUUUGUACUUCUAUACUUCUAGCAUGGCUGCACCCCUAAAGUUUCCAAACAGAACCAGCAAAUGGAAAAUAAGUAUUCAAAUACAAAAGAGCCUGUUGGGGUGUUUCUUAUUCAAACUUCCACAAGAUCCUAUAGGACUUUUUCUGUGAGUGCAGAAUACCUACAGAGAAAAUAAUUUUGAAGUAGGAAACAAAAUGUUGAACCCAUUUUCAGCUGAGGAAAUUAUUUUAUCCCUUACAUGUUUAGUUAUCCUGUCUGCAUCUCCCAGUUGAUCCAGCCUACAUCUUCUACCACUAAGUUGCUCUCGGUGAGCUACUCUUUUCUCCUUAUAUCCCCAAGUUUUGAGUACUCCAAUCGGUCUUUAAUGGUGGCUCUUCCCCAAGGUUUUCUCAGGUUACUGGGUAGCAUACCAUCAGUGCCAUCUGAGAGUCAUCUUUAGUCAAGACUGAGGAGAUCACAUAGGAGAUGGAUCUGUGGCCUUACCCUCAGGUAGGAGAGAGCUAAAUGUCCUACACUGUUUGACAGAGUGGCCCUUGUUCUGGGUUUACCUGCUGUUGCAAUUUUAACCUAUUUCUGGGAUAAAAUACUCUGAUCAAAACAACUUAGGGGAGAAAGGGUUUUUUUUUUUUUCAAUCUUACAAUUUCCAUCCCUGUAUAGAAGUUGAGGCAGAACCUCAAAUAGCUAACUCCAUCACAUCCCAAGACCAAGGUCUAGAGUAGAGAACUGAUCAUCUUCAUGUUCAUUUGCUUGCCUGCACCCAGCUUGACUUCUUCACUCUACACAGUUCAGGACCUCUUGCCUUGGGCAUGGAGCUGUCCACACUGGGCUGAGUCUCCCCACAUCAAAUAACUUACUCUUCCGGAUGCUUCCAAGAUGAUUCUAUGUUCUGUAAAUUAAAGGUAACUAUUACAUCAGUCAAGCUGACUCUGAAAACACACCUAGAGAGCAUUCUGGGAAAUAGCCUAGGAACCAAUUUCACUCUCUUGGUGUCCUUUCCCCCUUUACUCUCAACUGUAAUAACUUAGGGAGCAGCAGGUUUCCCAUUCUGAGCUCCUUGCCUCCCACUCAUCCUCAAUCAGCCUACAAUACUGCUAUCUUCAAAGUGCUAUUCCUCCUUGUGAUGGUAAGCACCCUUGAUUGGUGUUGUAAACUAUGAAACUACACUGAUCAAACAGCAGAUGAGAAAAGGAGGCACAUACCAGCUUCCUGCAUGCAACCUUUCUCAGCUCAUCAAGGCUGGAGUUUCUGAAGGGCUCCAGAAACCCAGAUAUUUCCUUUGAUUGUUGCUGCUAAGAUGAAAGCUAGCACACAGCAAAUUUUGGAUUCAACGCCCACAGUCCCUUCUUCCUUCACUGCAAGGUAAUCAACUGUUUUAAAUAGUCUGAAAGCACUAUUGCCUUGGCUCUUAUGAUAGAUUGCUUCUGUUUAUUGCUCUCUAUUUUUACCUCCAGACCCACAGUUCUUGGAACGAUUGAUAAGGAACGCGUAAGCCAACUGUGGCAAUUCUAAAGAAAAUGAUGGCUCUCUCUGUUUGUCUUGUUAGGAGUUUAAGGCUCAGAAUUGGUUAAGAAGAAUAUGUUAUUCAUCUCUGGGUGGGACCUUUGUCAUCUCAAUCAGAAAAAGGUUUUUUCCACUGUUCUGACCUGCAUGAUUUCUGUAUUUUGAGAAUCCUGUAAGAUUUUGUUCUGUAUGCUAUGGCCACACUCUGAUCUGCAUUUACUCCUAGACCUAAUCAUAUGAAUCCUCACUUUAGUAACUUUUGGGAGACUAAUCUAUGCCCCAGGCCAUGCACACCAGUACUCAGAGAGGAGUGAUUAAAGAGAUAGAUGGACUAGGCCGCUCUGGAUAGUCUCAAUGCCACCCUGGCAAGUAAGCCCAGUGAUUCAGAUGUUCAGGCUGCUUUGAGAUCCACAGAUGUGAACAUUCAGGUAAGCAAGAUGGCUUGGACUGGAAAGGCUAACUUAUUUGCUCUCUCUUCCCAGCUUGUGUUCUUGGCAUUGACCUCAUAUUUGGCAGUAGAGAGUGAACUAAUAAACUUUUACACUGAUGCUUGCUUCUGGGAGUGACAAAAGCUCAUGUUAAUCCCUCUUGUUGGAAAGAGAAAAGGAGCCAAAAAGCCAAAGGCACCCCAUGUUUUCUAAUGGAAGAAACAUGACAUGGGCAGGCAUUAUGCAUUGUGACAGGGUAUGGUCAGCAGGCCUAUUUGCCCUGUGUUGAUGGACUUUUGUUCUUGGAGCAAACCUUUUGGGAAAGAAUUUCCAAAUUCCUGACUUAGACAAUAAAAAUCAAAUGAUGAAUUUUCAUUUGCAUUGGGAAAAUGUUGCUGUUUUUAAUGGUUUCCCUUUGAGUCUGCAAUCGUAUGUUUCUGCUAAUAUCUUUGAUUCAGAUCUCAUGCGGGCUUCUAUAAACUUCGUUGAGAGUUCCAUCUGUCAAGACAUUGUUAAGUCAUCUCAGUCUCUUUAGAAGUAGUCAUUGUUUCCUGGCCUGAAUCUGCAAGGAUCCCCAGUGAUGACAGGAGCUUGGCAUACACUGACCCUUGCAUGGUCUGGCAGGACUACAAUGUAGAGCAAGCUCCAAAGAGGAGGGCUUUGGGUUGGAAUAUCACCAUGAAUGUGUGAGGACAAUAGCCUUUGUGUGCAGCACACAUGAUUCUGUGGAGACAAGGAAGGACAGAAUGGCUCUAAUGUUUCCUACAAACAAACAAAUUUUGCAUGGAAUUAUGGCUGUUUAUGUUGCUCAUACACUGCAGAGCCAUGCAUGAAGAACUAAUAUGCUGGGUAUAGUUUCUACAAUCCCCAAAAAUAUCAGGAGAAUGGCCAAUCAAGGUUCAGAUGUGAACUCUGGGUCCACUGGGAGAAAACAAGCUGGAAGGUAUUUGCAAAAAUGUACUGCUCUGUAGAAUGCAAGGGAUGGAAAGAAGGCCAGAAUGAGGGAAGUCCUGACUGAAUAUGUAUUGUUGACAUAGGCCCAGCCAUGUGGAGUACUUCAGGGCUUUGGAUCCAUGAAAAACUGGCAAAGCCAUUAUGCAUAUGAACCAGGUUCAAGAGGAAUGCCAAAGCUUUUUUCAUACAUUCUUGUAUGAGUGUUAUGGCCUUUGACAAAGAUGUACAAAGACUAGUGACUGCAGCUUCCUCCUCAGAUGAUUACAGCCUGAGACUGCUCACCUAGAACAGCCUCCUUCUAAGGCUACCCUCUUCCCUUGUGCUGUACUUAAUAAAAGUUCCUGAAGGUCUUGGCUGCAGAGGUAGCAAUCUCACUUGGUUCCAACAUCACUGCCAUUGUGUCCAUGUGUCAGUCCUUACUUAAUUCUUCAGCACCCAUAGUCAAUGUUCAGGGCCUAAGUCCCAUAGAUUGUGGAGCAUUAACAGUAAAGAUUUUUAAACACUGGCCUCAGAUAUUCUACCCUGUUCAUAAAAAAAAUGAGCAUUGUUAACUGCUAUGUUUCUACCAUUGUUAUCUUGUUCAUUGUUAUCUUCCUUUGCAUCUCUGGGCUGUGUAGUAUAUGUAUACAGCAUAUGUAUACAGGGAAUGAGAGAAGGAUGUUGCACACACAUGAUGUAUAUGUGUUCAACAUAUUGGCAUAUGACACACUUCGGCAUCUCAUCCCUACUGCACCCUUUGGGGGACCCUGAAUCUGAGCCUGAGAUAGUCACCUUUGUCAAAGACUAAGAACUUUUCUCCAUUCCCCAUUCCUGCCUCCUGUGCUGUUUUUGCCAGAGUCUGUGAUAGCAGAUGUGGUAAGAGUGUGUGAGGUUGCCAAGAUGCUUAACCUAGCCUCUGAGAUUGCUGUGCCUGACACCUAAAGUUCCAUAUUCAGGAAGACUAUCCACGCAUCCAUGAAGGAUGGGCUUCUCAAGGAGGAGGAGGAAGAGGAAUAAUUUGUAUUGGCAAGACUUAGAAGCUAUCAAUGCAUAAAUUAGACCACCAACUUGUAGAAUCAUAGUGAAAGACUCUUGCUUUAGAAUAUUUUCUCUGGGUUUUAUGUUUAAUUUGUUUGCUUAUUCUUAUAAUGCCAAAUUAUUGAGUACCCGUUUUUGGUAAAGAAUGUUUCACAUAAGAUUAGUGUUCACAGGGUAACUGCCUGUAAACUAGAAAUGUUUUUCAUUGACAACUAAAGGCAAAUAACAGAAUUGCAUUCAGGCUUGCUUGGGCUAAAUUGUGUAAAAGACACUUUUCUUAUCUCUAUGAAUGAAUACCUGCUACAAAAGCAUCUUAGAGGUAAGGCCUCAUUUUGUUUUAUCAUUGAGGGGAAAAUGUGGCGACAGAACACAGAGCAGAUGUUCACAUGUAUCUGUAAUCAAGAAGCAGAAAGCAGAUAAUAAACAUUGCUUGGCUAUGAAGUCUUAAGGUCUACCACUAUUGAUGUGCUUCCUGCAGCAAGAUGACACUUUCCCCAAAGUUCUACAACCUUCUAAC